rnacentral:rRNA from 1 species
UCGGUGAAGCCGGUGACGGCCCGAAAGGGUGCAGGGGAUAGACAGGUGCUGCAUGGUUGUCGUCAGCUCGUGUCGUGAGAUGUUGGCUUAAGUGCCGCAACGAGCGCAACCCCUGUGUUUAGUUACUCCGCAGGGAGGUCUCUAAACAGACUGCCUCGCUUUAAACGAGGAGGAAGGUGGGGAUGACGUCAAAUCAGUAUGGCCCUUACGGCCAGGGCUGCACACGUGCUACAAUGCUCGGUACAGAGGGACGCAAGACCGCGAGGUGGAGCCAAUCCCACAAAACCGAGCCCAGUUCAGAUUGGAGUCUGCAACUCGACUCCAUGAAGCCGGAAUCGCUAGUAAUGGCGCAUCACCUACGGCGCCCUGAAUACGUUCCCGGGCCUUGUACACACCGCCCGUCACAUCAUGGAAGCCCGCUGCACCCGAAGUCGCCGCGUCAACCGCAAGGAGACAGGCGCCGAAAGUAUGGCUGGUGACUGGGAUGAAGUCGUAACAAGGUAGCCGU